rnacentral:rRNA from 1 species
UUGAUCCCUGGCUCAGGAUGAACGCUGGCGGCGUGCCUAAUACAUGCAAGUCGAGCGAAUGGAUUAAGAGCUUGCUCUUAUGAAGUUAGCGGCGGACGGGUGAGUAACACGUGGGUAACCUACCCAUAAGACUGGGAUAACUCCGGGAAACCGGGGCUAAUACCGGAUAAUAUUUUGAACUGCAUAGUUCGAAAUUGAAAGGCGGCUUCGGCUGUCACUUAUGGAUGGACCCGCGUCGCAUUAGCUAGUUGGUGAGGUAACGGCUCACCAAGGCAACGAUGCGUAGCCGACCUGAGAGGGUGAUCGGCCACACUGGGACUGAGACACGGCCCAGACUCCUACGGGAGGCAGCAGUAGGGAAUCUUCCGCAAUGGACGAAAGUCUGACGGAGCAACGCCGCGUGAGUGAUGAAGGCUUUCGGGUCGUAAAACUCUGUUGUUAGGGAAGAACAAGUGCUAGUUGAAUAAGCUGGCACCUUGACGGUACCUAACCAGAAAGCCACGGCUAA